rnacentral:rRNA from 1 species
CCUACGGGAGGCAGCAGUGGGGAAUAUUGCACAAUGGGGGAAACCCUGAUGCAGCGACGCCGCGUGAGUGAAGAAGUAAUUCGUUAUGUAAAGCUCUAUCAGCAGGGAAGAAAAUGACGGUACCUGAGUAAGAAGCCCCGGCUAACUACGUGCCAGCAGCCGCGGUAAUACGUAGGGGGCAAGCGUUAUCCGGAGUUACUGGGUGUAAAGGGAGCGUAGACGGGAGUGCAAGUCUGGAGUGAAAGGCGUGGGCUUAACCCCCGGACUGCUAUGGAAACUGUACGGCUGGAGUGCAGGAGAGGUAAGUGGAAUUCCUAGUGUAGCGGUGAAAUGCGUAGAUAUUAGGUAGAACACCAGUGGCGAAGGCGGCUUACUGGACUGUAACUGACGUUGAGGCUCGAAAGCGUGGGGAGCAAACAGGAUUAGAUACCCGGGUAGUC